rnacentral:rRNA from 1 species
CACAAGCGGUGGAGUAUGUGGUUUAAUUCGAUGCAACGCGAAGAACUUACCUGGUCUUGACAUCCCGGAGACCCUUAGGAAACUAGGGGGUGCUUCCAUCUGGAAGAAUCUGGAGACAGGUGCUGCAUGGCUGUCGUCAGCUCGUGUCGUGAGAUGUUGGGUUAAGUCCCGCAACGAGCGCAACCCUUGCCUUUUAGUUGCCAGCAGUUCGGCUGGGCACUCUAAAGGGACUGCCGGUGUUAAACCGGAGGAAGGUGGGGAUGACGUCAGGUCCUCAUGGCCUUUAUGACCAGGGCUGCACACGUACUACAAUGGCCGAUACAAAGGGCAGCGACACUGCGAGGUGAAGCCAAUCCCGUAAAAUCGGUCUCAGUCCGGAUUGGAGUCUGCAACUCGACUCCAUGAAGUUGGAAUCGCUAGUAAUCGUGGAUCAGCAUGCCACGGUGAAUACGUUCCCGGGCCUU